AAAAGUUUGAGGGAUACAGGUGCAUUUGACUCCUUUAUCGUUGACUCGGUUCUGCCUUUGUCUGAGGAAAGUGACACUGGUGACACGGUUCGGACUCGGGGGAUGGGAUUAACGGUUUUUCCUGUUCCUGUUCAUAGGAUGUAUCUCGACUGUGACCUUGUUAAAGGGGAUGUAGCUAUUGGGGUAUGUCCAGCUUUUCCAAUCGAGGGGAUACAUUUCAUUCUGGGUAACGAUUUGGCAGGUGGUAAAGUCUGGGCUGAUGGCCCUUCUGUGUUGUUAGUCACUGGUGGUCUGAUUGAGUCAGCAUCUGAGAAGCGCUCUACAGUGGUGCCAGACGUUACGGCCGCGUGUGUGAUCACACGGGCUAGGGCCAAAAGGGAUCAGGACUUGCUAUCACAUGGGAAGUCAACUGACACAGUGGAGGUUCCAUCUUUGUCUGAGUUUUCGGUGUUACUUACACACCAUGAGGUGGGAGAGGAGCAACGUCAGGAUGCUUCGCUGAAAGGCCUUUUUGACUGUGCUGUGCCAGUGGCAGAGAGGGAAAACGCUUCAAGUGGAUACAUGUUGCGUAAUGACUUGUUGUUUAGGAGAUGGAGGCCUGUUGAUGGUGCAGGGACUGAGGUUUUCCAGCUGGUGGUGCCAACUAAGCUUCGUCCUCUUGUCCUGAAAGUCGCACAUGAUGAGUGUGGACACUUUGGGGUUCGGAAAACAUAUUGGAACAUCCUGAAACACUACUUCUGGCCACGUCUUAAGACAGAUGUGUCGCAGUAUAUUAGAACAUGUCAUGUGUGUCAGCUGACAGGGAAACCGAACCAGAAGAUCAAACCAGCACCACUACAGCCGAUACAAGUGGUAAGUGAACCAUUUACACAUCUCAUUGUGGAUUGUGUGGGCCCUUUACCAUGUUCAAAGUCUGGUUGCAAAUAUCUGCUGACUGUGAUGUGUCAAACCACUAGGUAUCCAGCGGCUUAUCCUUUGAGGUCGAUUACAACUAAGGCUGUGGUUAGGGCCUUGUUGCAGUUUAUCUCAAUAUUUGGUAUUCCUAAGGUUGUUCAGAGUGAUCAAGGCUCCAAUUUUUCGUCUCACAUGUUUGCUCAGGUGUUGAAGCUUUUGAAGAUUAAGAAGAACCAGUCAACAGCUUACCACGCACAAAGUCAGGGUGCUUUGGAAAGGUUUCACCAGACAUUGAAAUCCUUGUUACGUGCUUACUGUACUGAGCUAGAUGGAGACUGGGAGGAAGGUCUUCCUUGGUUGAUGUUGGCUGCAAGGGAGGCGGUACAUGAAGGUACGGGGUUUAGCCCUAAUGAGUUGGUUUUCGGACAUGCUGUACGGGGUCCCUUGGCAGUGCUGAAAGAGGGUUGUGUGGACACUGAGCCACCACGGAGCUUGGUGGAUUAUGUGAAUGGCUUCAGACGUCGUUUGAUUGUUGCUUUAAGUAUGGCACGGGAAAAGUUGUCAGUGUCUCAAAGUAAAAUGAAGGAGUUGUAUGACCGUCGUUCGGCACGACAGGAGUUUAAUCCAGGUGACCAGGUUCUAUCACUUAUGCCUAUUGUUGGUUCCCCAUUUCAGGCUAAAUAUUCAGGUCCGUACACUAUCAUUGAGAAAACUUCUGAUUUAAAUUAUGUUGUGGCAACACCAGAACGAAGGAAGACUAAACGCCUCUGUCAUGUAAAUCUUCUGAAACCCUACCACAAGCGGGAGGUUAACACGGACACAGAGGUGGAGAAGGAUGAGGUGCAGCCGGCUGUUGCGGUGACACAUGGUUUGACGCAUGAGGGAGAUGUAGUGCCUGAACCUGAUGAUAGUUUGCUCUGUGGUCAUUUGAGAAAUUCGGAAUCGCUAGAUAAUUUAGACGGGUUGUUGUCUCAUUUGGCGGAAUCAAGACGUGAGGAACUCUCAGCAUUGGUACACAAAUAUCUGUGUCUGUUUGGAGACACUCCUUCGCAAACUGACUGGGCUGAGCAUGAUAUUGAUGUUGGGGACGCUCAGCCGAUUAAGCAACAUUUUUAUCGCAUGCCACCAGUUAAGCGCAAUCGGCUGGAUGCAGAGAUUAAUUACAUGUUGGAGAACAAAAUUGCUGUCCCAUCAGCAUCUAGUUGGGCGUCUCCAUGUAUUUUGGUGCCAAAGCAGGAUGGGACACCUAGAUUCUGUACUGAUCUAAGAAAAGUGAAUGCGGUGACAAAAUCUGACUCUUUUCCUUUGCCACGGAUGGAUGACUGUAUAGAUCAGGUGGGGUCCGCAAAGUAUGUUAGCAAAUUUGAUUUGCUUAAAGGGUAUUGGCAGUUCCCCUUGU